rnacentral:rRNA from 1 species
ACUUAAGCAUAUCAAUAAGCGGAGGAAAAGAAACUAACAAGGAUUCCCCUAGUAACUGCGAGUGAAGCGGGUUUUGCUCAAAUUUAAAAUCUGGCAGUCUUUUGGCUGUCCGAGUUGUAAUCUAGAGAAGUGUUAUCCGCGCUGGACCGUGUACAAGUCUCCUGGAAUGGAGCGUCAUAGAGGGUGAGAAUCCCGUCUUUGACACGGACUGCCAGGGCUUUUGUGAUGCGCUCUCAAAGAGUCGAGUUGUUUGGGAAUGCAGCUCAAAAUGGGUGGUAAAUUCCAUCUAAAGCUAAAUAUUGGCGAGAGACCGAUAGCGAACAAGUACCGUGAGGGAAAGAUGAAAAGAACUUUGGAAAGAGAGUUAAACAGUACGUGAAAUUGCUGAAAGGGAAACGCUUGAAGUCAGUCGCGUUGUCCAGGGAUCAACCUUGCUUUUGCUUGGUGCACUUUCUGGUUGACGGGUCAGCAUCAAUUUUGACUAUUGGAAAAAGAUUAGGGGAAUGUGGCAUCUUCGGAUGUGUUAUAGCCCUUGGUUGCAUACAAUGGUUGGGAUUGAGGAACUCAGCACGCCGCAAGGCCGGGUUUUUAACCACGUACGUGCUUAGGAUGCUGGCAUAAUGGCUUUAAUCGACCCGUCUUGAAACACGGACCAAGGAGUCUAACAUGCCUGCGAGUGUUUGGGUGGAAAACCCGAGCGCGUAAUGAAAGUGAAAGUUGAGAUCCCUGUCGUGGGGAGCAUCGACGCCCGGACCAGACCUUUUGUGACGGUUCCGCGGUGGAGCAUGUAUGUUGGGACCCGAAAGAUGGUGAACUAUGCCUGAAUAGGGUGAAGCCAUAGGAAACUCUGGUGGAGGCUCGUAGCGAUUCUGACGUGCAAAUCGAUCGUCAAAUUUGGGUAUAGGGGCGAAAGACUAACGCAACCAUCUAGUAGCUGGUUCCU